GAUGAACGCUGGCGGCGUGCCUAAUACAUGCAAGUCGAGCGAACAGACGAGGAGCUUGCUCCUCUGACUUUAGCGGCGGACGGGUGAGUAACACGUGGAUAACCUACCUAUAAGACUGGGAUAACUUCGGGAAACCGGAGCUAAUACCGGAUAAUAUAUUGAACCGCAUGGUUCAAUAGUGAAAGACGGUUUUGCUGUCACUUAUAGAUGGAUCCGCGCCGCAUUAGCUAGUUGGUAAGGUAACGGCUUACCAAGGCAGCGAUGCGUAGCCGACCUGAGAGGGUGAUCGGCCACACUGGAACUGAGACACGGCCCAGACUCCUACGGGAGGCAGCAGUAGGGAAUCUUCCGCAAUGGACGCAAGUCUGACGGAGCAACGCCGCGUGAGUGAUGAAGGUCUUCGGAUCGUAAAACUCUGUUAUUAGGGAAGAACAAAUGUGUAAGUAACUGUUCACGUCUUGACGGUAUCUAAUCAGAAAGCCACGGCUAACUACGUG
rnacentral:rRNA from 1 species